rnacentral:rRNA from 1 species
CGCCAGACUCCUACGGGAGGCAGCAGUGGGGAAUAUUGGGCAAUGGGCGCAAGCCUGACCCAGCAACGCCGCGUGAAGGAAGAAGGCUUUCGGGUUGUAAACUUCUUUUCUGAGGGACGAUAGUGACGGUACCUCAGGAAUAAGCCACGGCUAACUACGUGCCAGCAGCCGCGGUAAUACGUAGGUGGCAAGCGUUAUCCGGAUUUACUGGGUGUAAAGGGCGUGUAGGCGGGAUGGUAAGUCAGAUGUGAAAACUAUGGGCUCAACCCAUAGCCUGCAUUUGAAACUAUCGUUCUUGAGUGUUGGAGAGGCAAGCGGAAUUCCGUGUGUAGCGGUGAAAUGCGUAGAUAUACGGAGGAACACCAGUGGCGAAGGCGGAUUGCUGGACAGUAACUGACGCUGAGGCGCGAAAGCGUGGGGAGCAAACAGGAUUAGAUACCCGGGUA